GGAUUGUGGCUCAGUGGUAGAAUGAUCUUCUAGCACAUGCAAGGCCCUGGGUUCGAUCCUCAGCACCA
rnacentral:tRNA from 1 species